AUGAUCAGCUUUCUGCCCCGGGAUCUGAGCUCUCUGCCCCACAGUGCCCGGACGGGGAGGGUUGGGGUGCAGCCUGCAGUGCAGGAGCAGAACCCGACCUUCAAAGUCAUACAGAAGACUUACAGAGAAACAAACCACGCGCUUUAAAUGCAGGACUCACAAUGCCUUAAACGUUACACAAAGUACUACGGCUGCCCAUCUCAGAGUCUCAGCCCCAGGAACCACAUCCAACCCCUGGCAUCCCAUCUGCCACCCCACGCCGGUGCCUUCAGGCUCCUUCUGCAGGGACCUCCAUCCCUGCCCAACUCAGUCCAAAGUACCUUCCAAAAAGGCGAACUCAUCGACAGCUUCAAUGGCGUUAUCCAGAUCCUUCCUCUGCAGGGUUUUCCUCUUGCCCUGCUGGGCGUACACAAACGCGUCCUUAGCGAUGGUCUCCACGAACAGCUCCGCGGCCCGCGCCAGCACGAACACGGCCUCCUGGCUGGCCAGGCUGACGUCCGGGUCCGCCUUCACCAACGCCUUCACGCGGGACAACGGCAGCCGAGCGGCGCGGGCCGCUCCCGCACACGGCGCCGCACCGCCGCCGUCCUCCGCCGCCGCCGCCGCCGUCUCCGCUGCCGCCGCCGCCGCCGCCAUCCCGCGCC
rnacentral:lncRNA from 1 species